AGAUAAGAGUGAGUUUUCAGAUUAGAUUUAAAAGAAUAUUGAGUGGCAGGUUAAUUUAUUAUUAUUUAGGUUAUUAUCUAGAGUCUAGGGAUUAAUUAGCUAUGAUUUAGUAUUUUACAUACAAAGUUUUUUAUUAUUAUUAUUAUUUAUUGUGAAAUCGGUCCAUUAUUUUGAUCUGAUUUCAGCAUCAAGUGGUCCAAUUUUUCCCUUUUCAUGAAAAAGGAAGAAUCGCUUUACUAACCAGAAAAGAUAUUUAUUGUUGUUUUACGGAAAGGCAGC